GUAAGCCGGUCUGAGAGGGUAACGGACUCACUUUGGACUGAGAUCCGUCCAGACUCCUAACGGGAGGCAGUCAGUGGGGGAUUUGCACAAUCGGCGCAAGCCUUGAUGCAGCAUCGUCCGCGUGAGGGAACGACGUCUUUCGGGCUUGUAAACCUUCUUUUAGCAGGGAAGAAGCGAAAGUGACGGUACCUGCAGAAAAAGCGCCGGCUAACUACGUGCCAGCAGCCGCGGUAAUACGUAGGGCGCAAGCGUUAUCCGGAAAUUAUUGGGCGUAAAGAGCUCGUAGGCGGUUUGUCGCGUCUGCUGUGAAAUCCGGAGGCUCAACCUCCGGCCUGCAGUGGGUACGGGCAGACUAGAGUGCGGUAGGGGAGAUUGGAAUUCCUGGUGUAGCGGUGGAAUGCGCAGAUAUCAGGAGGAACACCGAUGGCGAAGGCAGAUCUCUGGGCCGUAACUGACGCUGAGGAGCGAAAGGGUGGGGAGCAAACAGGCUUAGAUACCCUGGUAGUCCACCCCGUAAACGUUGGGAACUAGUUGUGGGGUCCAUUCCACGGAUUCCGUGACGCAGCUAACGCAUUAAGUUCCCCGCCUGGGGAGUACGGCCGCAAGGCUAAAACUCAAAGGAAUUGACGGGGACCCGCACAAGCGGCGGAGCAUGCGGAUUAAUUCGAUGCAACGCGAAGAACCUUACCAAGGCUUGACAUAUACGAGAACGGGCCAGAAAUGGUCAACUCUUUGGACACUCGUAAACAGGUGGUGCAUGGUUGUCGUCAGCUCGUGUCGUGAGAUGUUGGGUUAAGUCCCGCAACGAGCGCAACCCUCGUUCUAUGUUGCCAGCACGUAAUGGUGGGAACUCAUGGGAUACUGCCGGGGUCAACUCGGAGGAAGGUGGGGAUGACGUCAAAUCAUCAUGCCCCUUAUGUCUUGGGCUUCACGCAUGCUACAAUGGCCGGUACAAAGGGCUGCAAUACCGCGAGGUGGAGCGAAUCCCAAAAAGCCGGUCCCAGUUCGGAUUGAGGUCUGCAACUCGACCUCAUGAAGUCGGAGUCGCUAGUAAUCGCAGAUCAGCAACGCUGCGGUGAAUACGUUCCCGGGUCUUGUACACACCGCCCGUCAAGUCAUGAAAGUCUGGUAACACCUGCAAGCCGGUGGCCUAACCCUGUGA
rnacentral:rRNA from 1 species